rnacentral:rRNA from 1 species
ACUCCUACGGGAGGCAGCAGUGGGGAAUUUUGCGCAAUGGGGGAAACCCUGACGCAGCAACGCCGCGUGAGUGAUGAAGGCCUUCGGGUCGUAAAGCUCUGUCAGAGGGGAAGAAAUGUGUCUAUGCUAAUACCAUGGACGCUUGACGGUACCCUCAAAGGAAGCACCGGCUAACUCCGUGCCAGCAGCCGCGGUAAUACGGAGGGUGCGAGCGUUGUUCGGAAUUAUUGGGCGUAAAGCGCGUGUAGGCGGUUUAUUAAGUCUGAUGUGAAAGCCCCGGGCUCAACCUGGGAAGUGCAUUGGAAACUGGUAAACUUGAAUACGGGAGAGGGUAGUGGAAUUCCUAGUGUAGGGGUGAAAUCCGUAGAUAUUAGGAGGAACACCGGUGGCGAAGGCGGCUACCUGGACCGAUAUUGACGCUGAGACGCGAAAGCGUGGGGAGCAAACAGGAUUAGAUACCCUGGUAGUCCACGCCGUAAACGAUGAGAACUAGGUGUCGCGGGUA